rnacentral:rRNA from 1 species
GACGAACGCUGGCGGCGUGCUUAACACAUGCAAGUCGAACGUGAUUUUUAUGGGAAUUCUUUCGGGAAUGGAGAGGAAAUGAAAGGGGCGAACCGUGGAUUAACACCUGAUCAGACUACCUUACACAGGGGGAUAGCCGUUUGAAACGACAAUUAAUACCGCAUGAGACCACAGAAUCGCAUGAUAUAGUGGUCCAAGAUUUAUCUGUGUAAGAAGGGCUCGCGUCUGAUGAUAUAGUUGGAAGGGUAAAGGGCUACGAAGGCGACGAUCAGUACCCGGUAUCAGAGGCUGAACGCACACAUUGGAACUGAGCCACGGUCGGAACUCCUCCGGGAGGCAGCAGUGGCGAAUAUUGCAAAACGGGGUGAACGAUGAUGCAGCGACGACGCGUGAGCGCAGAAGGUUUUCGAAUAGUAAUGCUUUGUUCUAUGAGAAGAUCAUGACGGUAUCAUAGGAGGAAGCCCCGGCUAACUACGUG